ACGGCCGUAUGAUGUUGAAACACCGAUUCCCGUACGAUCAUCGAAAUUAAGCAACGUCGAGUCUGGCCAUUACUGAGAUCGGUGACUGUUUGGGAAUAUCUGGUGCUGUAG